rnacentral:rRNA from 1 species
UUGACUGUACAAAGGUAGCAUAAUCAUUAGUCUUUUAAUAGAGGGCUGGAAUGAAAGGUUUAACGAGGAACUGACUGUCUCAUUUUAUUUGUUUUAAAAUUUAAUUUUUUAGUUAAAAAGCUAAAAUUUUAUUGGUAGACGAGAAGACCCUAUAGAGCUUUACAUUUAAUUAUAUAAAUAUUUUUAUAUUAAUAUUUUUAUUUAAUUAUGUGUUUUGUUGGGGUGACAAAAAUAUAUAAUUAACUUUUUUAUUUAAUUAACCAUUGAUUUAUGAUUAUUAGAUCCAUUAUUAUUGAUUAUUAGAUUAAGUUACCUUAGGGAUAACAGUGUAAUAU